UGCGAGCGUUAUUCGGAAUUACUGGGCGUAAAGCGUGCGCAGGCGGUUUUGUAAGCCAGAUGUGAAAUCCCCGGGCUUAACCUGGGAAUGGCAUUUGGGACUGCAAGGCUCGAGUGCGGCAGAGGAGACUGGAAUUCCUGGUGUAGCAGUGAAAUGCGUAGAUAUCAGGAGGAACACCGAUGGCGAAGGCAGGUCUCUGGGCUGACACUGACGCUCAUGCACGAAAGCGUGGGGAGCAAACAGG
rnacentral:rRNA from 1 species